rnacentral:rRNA from 1 species
GGAANGAAAAGGUCNCCUAGNNAANNACUAGGGGGCUCNUGNCGGUACUGGANNAAUAAGCACCGGCUAACUACGUGCCAGCAGCCGCGGUAAUACGUAGGGUGCAAGCGUUAAUCGGAAUUACUGGGCGUAAAGCGUGCGCAGGCGGCUANNUANGACAGAUGUGAAAUCCCCGGGCUCAACCUGGGAACUGCAUUUGUGACUGCAUAGCUGGAGUGCGGCAGAGGGGGAUGGAAUUCCGCGUGUAGCAGUGAAAUGCGUAGAUAUGCGGAGGAACACCGAUGGCGAAGGCAAUCCCCUGGACCUGCACUGACGCUCAUGCACGAAAGCGUGGGGAGCAAACAGGAUUAGAUACCCUGGUAGUCCACGCCCUAAACGAUGUCAACUGGUUGUUGGAUCUUCUGUGANUCAGUAACGAAG